ensembl:lncRNA RUNDC3A-AS1 RUNDC3A antisense RNA 1
GCGCGUAGACGAUGCGGAACUUCUGCUCCAUCUUGUGCCACUUGCUGUACCAGCUGUCCUCAUCGGUGACGAGCGGGAGGUACGGGUGCUCGGGCGAGUUGUCCUCGCUCGUGCUGCUCUCGGCGCUGUGCCGCUCCUCCUCGUCCGUCAGGUAGUAAAGAAAUUGAUGGUCCAAGAGGUUGACUGAUCUGUUCGGAGUCACAUGGCUUAUGAGUAGUCAAGCAGUUCCAGGCAUUUCUGCAGAGGUCUGAUGUGCACAGCACUGUGCUGGGCACUAGUGCUGGGAGACAGAUGCAGUGUGGUGGAGUGCGUGCCCAGGAACCGGGAAGGAGCUAUGGGAGCCAGGAGCCAGGGCAUCAGGAACAUCCCUCCCAGGACUCACUCACACCUAUUCUCCAACUCUGCCUACCUGCUCAAUUCACCUGAUGCUCUGCCAGUGGAUUGCUGAUGUCUCUACAUUGAUUCAGAUUUGCACCCACAUCUGAAAAUGGUCAGCAGGCAGGGACCCUCUGUCACCACAGGUGGAGGAAGAGGAGAUGAAAGAGCCUUGUCUGACACCCUGGAGACUGGGAAACUACCCAGACUGUGUCCUCUCCCUCUUACUCUCCUAAAGGAAGACAAGGAAGACAAUGACAAAUGGCGUUUGCAGCAAAGCAACACCAACAGCCAACUUGAUGCUCAAGAGAGAACGCUAUGCCUCUUCCUCAUGGUUUCCAGUGCUCUACACAUUCUGAGAAACUUUUCUGGUAAUAAACUAUAGAAACAAUGAGACUGUGCCCAUGGGAGAGACCCCAUCUCUACAAAAAAUACAAAAAUUAGCCAGGCGUAGUGGUGUGCACCUGGAUUCCCCAGCUACUUGGAAGGCUGAGAUGGGAAGAUCACUUGAGCCCCGGAGGUUGAGACUGCAGUGCGCCAUGAUCACGCCACUGUACUUCAGCCUCAGUGACAAAGCGAAAGCCUGUUUCAAAAAAAAAAAAAAGACAGAGAGAAACGGGCUGGGGACGGUGGUUCACACCUGUAAUCCCCGCACUUUGGAAGGCCGAGGCAGGUGGAUCACUUGAGAUCAGGAGUUCGAGACCAGCCUGGCCAACAUGGUGAAACCCCGUCUCUACUAAAAAUACAAAAAUGAGCAAGGCAUGGUGGUGGAUGCCUAUAAUCCCAGCUACUCAGAAGGCCGAGGUGGGAGAAUCACUUGAAUCCCAGGAGACAGAGGUUGCAGUGAGCCGAGAUCGCGCCACUGCACUCCAGUUUGGGCAACAGAAUGAGGCUCCAUCUCAAGAAACAGAAAAAGGGAAAUGAUCCCUGAAAGUACACUCUUUUGUUGUAGUUUUUAUUUGCAUUUUGCUAACGAUUAGUGAUGUUGAGCACCUUUUCAUGUGUUUACUGGCUAUUUGUUUUCUUUUUUUUUUUUUUUUUUUGGAGCGAUACCUAUUCAAGUCCUUUGUUCAUUUUUGGGUUGCUUGGUUUUUGUUGUUGGUGUUGAGUUUUUUAGGAGCUGCCUCUAUAUCCUGGAUAUCAAUUCCUUAUCAGAUAUAUAACUUGCAAAUAUUUUCUCCCAUUCUGCCAAUUACCUUUUGAAUUUGUUGAUAUUGGUUUUUUGAUGCACAAAGUUCUUAAGUUUUCAUCAAAGCUAAUUUGUCUAUUUUGUUGUUAUUGUUGCCCCCAUCUUUGGUGUCAGAUCCAAAAAAAUUAUUGCCAAAUCCAGUGUUGGGAAGCUUUUGCCAUAUGUUUUCUUCUAAGAGUUUUAAAAGUUUAGGUCUUACAUUUAGGUAUUUGAUCCAUUUUGAGUUAAUUUUUGUCGAUAGUGUUAGGUAAGAGUCCAACUUUAUUCUCUUACAUGUGGAUAUCCGUUUUUUCCAGCACUAUUUGUUUAAAAAACAAAAAUCAAACAAACAAAAACCUGUCCUUUCCCCAUUAAAUGGUCUUGGCAUUCUUGUCAAAAAUCAGGCUGGAGUGCAGUGGCAUGAUCUCGGCUCAUUGCAACCUCCACCUUCCAGAUUCUCUUGCCUCAGCCUCCCAAGUAGCUGAGAUUACAGGUGUGCACCACCACGCCCGGCUAACUUUUUUAUUUUUAACAGAGACGGGGUUUCACCAUGUUGGCCAGGCUGGUCUCGAACUCCUGACCUCAGGUGAUCCACCCGCCUCAGCCUCCCAAUGUGCUGGGAUUACAGGCAUGAGCCACCGCACCUGGUCUGAUCAAGUUUAAGACUGCAUUGCACCACAGCACUGCAGCCUAGACAACAGAGCAAGACCCUAUGUCAAAAAAAAAAAAAAUCAUUUGAUCAUAGGCCAGGUGUGAUGGUACAUACUUAUAAUCCGAGCUACUCAGGAGGGUGAGGUGGGAAGAUCACUUGAGCCCAGGAAUUCGAGUCCAUCCUGGGUAACAUAGCAAGACCAUAUCUCUAAAAAAAUUAGAUAAAUAAAAAAAAUAAGAAAUCACUUGCAGACCAGGCACAGUGGUUCACGCCUGUAAUCCAGCACUUUGAGAGGCCUAAGUGGGCGGAUCACUUGAACUCAGGAGUUCGAGACCAGCCUGGGCAACGUGGUGAAACCCCAUCUCUACCCAAAAUACAAAAAAAUUAGGCAGGCAUGGUGGCUUACACCUGUGGUCCCAGCUACUCAGGAAGCUGAGGUGGGAGGAUCGCUUGAGUCCAGGAGGCAGAGAUUGGAGUGAGCUGAAAUUGUAUCACUUCACUCCAGCCUGGGUGACAGAGCGAGACCCCGUCUCAAAAAAAAAAAGAAAAGAAAUCACUUGCUCAUGUGUGUAAGAGUUUACAUGAGGGCCUCUGUUCUAUUUCAUUGGUCUAUACGUCUGUCUCUAUGCCAAUACCACUCUAUUUUGAUGAAUGUAGCUUUGCAGUGAGUUUUAAAAUCAGGAAGUAUAAGUCCUCCAGCUUUAUUCCUUGUUCAUAUUUCAACUUUUGUGAUAAUCAUUUCCUUGCUUUUCUUUAUAUUUUUAUCACCCAUGUGUGCACCGCCUACAAGCAGAACCUAACAGGACAGUAAUGGAGGCUAGGGAACUGGUUUGCAGAGUCCCAGCCCCCUUCCAACAUCAGAGAGCAGAGAAAAUAAGAAUGAAUUUGAAGCUGAAAGUCAAUAAGCAAAUAACUGGCAUUAUCUACCCCUUUUUUCUAUGCAGUAGUUACACAUCUAUCCAUCAUAUUUGAAUAAUAACAGCUUCAUCCCUUUGCCUAAUAGAUGCAACUGUCCUUUGCUCAAAUGAAGAUGCUCUGGGGCCCUCCCCCAAAAGCAGAGACGCAAAGUCUCUACAGCAAUGGGAUCCCUUUCCGUGUGAUGUGAAUUCUCCUAGUUCAGCCACAUGUCCUCUAGAGUAUUCUGCAACCUAAAUUAUGAAGGUCAUCACCAACAACAAUCCUCAUAAAAAAUAAGAGAAAAGAAGGAGAGGAAAGUUAACCAAUAUUUAAAGAGUGUAUAUAACAAAACAAGCAAGAGAAAACAUGCCCAUGGCUUCUACAAUCCUUGCUUCUAUAUCUGGUCAGAAGCUGAUAUUAUAACUUUCCUCUUCCAUUACCCUUGAAGGGUUCAAGGGAUUCUCGUGCCUCAGCCUCCAGAGUAGCUGGGAAUACGGGUGCCCACCAACCACCACACCUGGCUAAUUUUUGUAUUUUUUUUAGUAGAGACAGGGUUUCACCAUUUUGGCCAGACUGGUCUCGAACUCCUGACCUCAAGUGAUCCCCACCCACCUUGCCUCCCAAAGUGCUGGGAUUACAGGCGUGAGCCACCGUGCCUGGCCCCAAAUCUGUAUUCUUUAUUUUUAUUAUUGUUAUUAUUAUUAUUGUUGUUUUUUUUUUUGAGACGGAGUCUCGCUCUGUCACCCAGGCUGGAGUGCAGUGGCGCGAUCUCAGCUCAAUGCAACCUCCGUCUCCCGGGUUCAAGCAAUUCUCCUGCCUCAGCCUCCUGAGUAGCUGGAUUUACAGGCGCCCACGACCAUGCCCGGCUAAUUUUUGUAUUUUUAGUAGAGAGAAGGUUGCACCAUAUUGGCCAGGCUGGUCUCUUGGCCAGGCUGGUCUCAAACCCCUGACCUGGUGAUCCGCCCAUCUUGGCCUCCCAAAAUGCUGGGAUUACAGGCAUGAGCCACCACGCCCGGCCCCCAAACCUUUAUUCUUAAAAUAAAGGUUUCAAGAAUAAACCUUUAUUCUUGAAAUUAGCAUUCUACAAAUUGGAAUCCUCAGAACUGUAUUGCUCUUUUUUUUUUAACUUUUACUAUUGGACACGGAAAUAGGACAUGGCACACCAGGGAGUCCCCUGGGUUCCAGACAUAGUCCUCCCUGCCUUUCUUUUGGAGUUAGAACCCAGCUUACCCUUGGCAUUUGGGAUCAGUCAUCCCAGAAGGUAACCCCUUUUUUGCCCUGAGCUCAGGUGAGAGCCUUAUCUUCCAGGUAGUGGAACCAUUGCAGUAUCUCCUCGUGAAAGGAUUCCUCCCUUAGUGUGGCAGAUGCUGGCAGUGCCCUCCCAUGUUCCUGAAGCUCUUGGGUUCACUGGAUGAACUUCCAGCUGCCAGAACCUGCAGCUCUUUAUCUAAGGACUCUCUCUGGCCACUGGAGCCUGCUGAGCAGGCUGAAAGUUCUGGGGAAUUAUACUCCCAGCCACAGCAACCUUCAGCCAAUCACCGAUGGGGAUCGGUGCGUAAAUAGCCAGCUUCCUCAUCCCUCAGGUCCUGCAGCAAACAUUAUGACUGGCUCCCUGAGUUCCUUCUUAGGAUUAAGCUCUGGUUGUCCACGUGUUUUGUUUGUUUGUUUGUUUGUUUUGUUGUUGUUGUUUUGUUUGUUUUUGAGACAGAGUCUCACUCUUGUUGCCCAGGCUGGAGUGCAAUGGUGCAAUCUUGGCUCACUGCAACCUCCGCCUCCUGGGUUCAAGCAAUUCCCCUGCCUCAGCCUCCCAAGUAGCUGGGAUUAUAGCCAUGUGCCACCACGCUCGGCUAAUUUUGUAUUUUUAGUAGAAACGGGGUUUCUCUAUGUCGGUUAGGCUGGUCUCGAACUCCCGACCUCAGGUGAUCCACCUGCCUUGGCCUCCCAAAGUGCUGGGAUUACAGGUGUGAGCCACCGCACCCGGCCGGUUGUCCAUGUUUUUAACUUGCUUGAUAACACACCCUUUAUGAGCCUCCUUUCUUUCCAAUGUCAGUCUCCCACUGGCUUGCUUGGUAUUCCUAGCAUCGCUUUUCAAAUAAACACUUGUGUUUCUC